ACCUCCAGGAAUAGCAUUCAUUGGCUUCUGCUCAGUUGGGAGAGAAGUUGGAGUUAUUCUGAACCAUUUAAUAAUGAUGCAGAGAACAGGGUACCCCUAAGCUGGAUGGAGAAGCUCUAUACAGUCAGUGAAAAGAAGACCAGCAGCUGACUGUGGAUCAGAUCAUGAACAACUUAUUGCAAAUUCAGACUUAAAUUGAAGAGAGUAUGGAAAACCACUUGACCAUUCAGGUAUAACCUAAAUCAAAUCCCUUGUAAUUAUACAAUGGAAGUGACAAAUAGAUUCAAGGGAUUAGAUCUGAUAGAGUGCCUGCAGAACUAUGGAUGGAGGUUCAUAACAUUAUACAGGAGGAGGUAAUCAAAACUAUCCCCAAAAAGAAGAAAUGAAAAAAGGCAAAUGGUUGUCUGAGGAGGCCUUACAAAUAGCUGAGAAAAGAAGUGAAGUGAAAGGCAAAGGAGAAAAGGAAAGAUAAAUCCAUCUGAAUGCAGAGUUCCAAAGAAUAGCAAGGCGAGAUAAGAAAGCCUUCCUCAGUGAUCAGUGCAAAGAAAUAGAGGAAAGCAAUAGAAUGGGAAAGACUAGAGAUCUCUUCAAGAAAAUUAGAGAUACCAAGGGAACAUUUUAUUCAAAGAUGGGCACAAUCAAGUACAGAAAUGGUAUGGACCUAACAGAAGCAGAAGAUAUUAAGAAGAGGUGACAAGAAUACACAGAACUAUACGAAAAAGAUCUUAAUGACCCAGAUAACCACAAUGGUGUGAUCACUCACCUAGACCCAGACAUCCUGGAGCGUGAUGUCAAGUGGAUUUUAGGAAGCAUCACUAUGAGCAAAGCUAGUGGAGGUGAUGGAAUUCCAGUUGAGCUAUUUAAAAUCCUAAAAAAUGAUGCUGUGAAAGUGCUGCACUCAGUAUGCCAGCAGAUUUGGAAAACUCAGAAGUGGCCACAGAACUGGAAAAGGUCAGUUUUCAUUCCAAUCCCAUUGCCUUCCUUUGGAAGUCAAUGCCAAAGAAUGUUCAAACUACAGGACAAUUGCACUCAUCUCACACACUAGCAAAGUAAUGCUCAAAAUUCUCCAAGGUAGGCUUCAACAGUAUGUGAACUGAGAACUUUCAGAUGUUCAAGCUGAAUUUAGAAAAGGCAGAGGAACCGGAGAUCA
ensembl:lncRNA